AUACGUAGGUGACAAGCGUUAUCCGGAUUUACUGGGCGUAAAGGGCGUGUAGGCGGUCUUGCAAGUCAGAAGUGAAAUUCCUGAGCUCAACUCGGGCGCUGCUUCUGAAACUGCAGGACUUGAGUGCUGGAGGGGAUAGCGGAAUUCCUAGUGGAGCGGUAAAAUGCGCAGAUAUUAGGAAGAACACCGGUGGCGAAGGCGGCUUGCUGGGCUGUUACUGACGCUGAGACACGAAAGCGUGGGGAGCAAAUAGGAUUAGAUACCCUAGUAGUCCACGCCGUAAACGAUGAGUACUAAGUGUCGGGUAACCGGUGCUGAAGUUAACACAUUAAGUACUCCGCCUGAGUAGUACGGUCGCAAGGCUGAAACUCAAAUGAAUUGACGGGG
rnacentral:rRNA from 1 species